UGGCCCUCCCUUGUUUUCUGCUCUUCUCCCUGUGACAUACCUAUAACGUUGCCUCGGCGGGAACAGACGGCCCCGUAACACGGGCCGCCCCCGCCAGAGGACCCCCUAACUCUGUUUCUAUAAUGUUUCUUCUGAGUAAACAAGCAAAUAAAUUAAAACUUUCAACAACGGAUCUCUUGGCUCUGGCAUCGAUGAAGAACGCAGCGAAAUGCGAUAAGUAAUGUGAAUUGCAGAAUUCAGUGAAUCAUCGAAUCUUUGAACGCACAUUGCGCCCGCCAGUAUUCUGGCGGGCAUGCCUGUUCGAGCGUCAUUACAACCCUCAGGCCCCCGGGCCUGGCGUUGGGGAUCGGCGGAAGCCCCCUGCGGGCACAACGCCGUCCCCCAAAUACAGUGGCGGUCCCGCCGCAGCUUCCAUUGCGUAGUAGCUAACACCUCGCAACUGGAGAGCGGCGCGGCCACGCCGUAAAACACCCAACUUCUGAAUGUUGACCUCGAAUCAGGUAGGAAUACCCGCUGAACUUAAGCAUAUCAAAUAAGCGGAGGAAGC
rnacentral:rRNA from 1 species